UACGUAGGGGGCGAGCGUUGUCCGGAUUUAUUGGGCGUAAAGAGCGUGUAGGCGGCCAAGCAGGUCCGCUGUGAAAACUCGAGGCUCAACCUCGAGACGUCGGUGGAAACCGUUUGGCUAGAGUCCGGAAGAGGAGAGUGGAAUUCCCGGUGUAGCGGUGAAAUGCGCAGAUAUCGGGAAGAACACCGGUGGCGAAAGCGGCUCACUGGACCGUUACUGACGCUGAGGUGCGAAAGCUAGGGGAGCAAACGGG
rnacentral:rRNA from 1 species